CACGGGGUCAUGCUGCAGCUGACGUUUCGUGUAAAUAAAAUACAACAAACAGCUAAAGUCACAUUUGAAGCAUGAAUCUAAGUGGUUCUUCUCAUUGUCAAUGAAACGUAUCCGUCUUUUAAUCAUUGCUGGACAGUUUGGGGGACAGUUUACUUAUUCACUCUUUUGACAAGAGUGAAAUUAGAGGAUCAAUGCCACCUUCCUUUAAAAUAUGAAGCAGCAGUUAUCUUAGCUUAGCACCAAGACUGGAAGCAGAGGGAAACGGUUAGCCUGGAUUCCUGUGGUGUCACAUUUCGACCGGUCAGCUCGUAAAAUAAGCAGAGAACCCGGCCCCUCUCGCUGCGGACGACCACGGAGGAUGUUAAAGAUGACACCUUAUGGAACAGGGAUUAACCAUUUCCAGCUGAAGGGAGACCAUUAGUCUAACUCAAUCAGGGGACUAAUUCAAUCAAAGGCACAGUGGGCGUCUUGACAUGGGGGCAUCUGUCACGCUGACUUCUCACUGCAUCCUGCGGUGACAUUUGGCCACAAAAUCCAGGCUGACAGAGGCCGUCGGAUCGCCUGCGGUGUGUCAGACGCGCGCUCGAAAAACAUCUAGACGCACACUAAUACACAACUGAAUUCACAA